rnacentral:rRNA from 1 species
UACGUAGGGGGCAAGCGUUGUCCGGAAUUAUUGGGCGUAAAGAGCUCGUAGGCGGUCUGUUGCGUCCGCUGUGAAAACUCGGGGCUUAACCCCGAGCCUGCAGUGGAUAAGGGCAGACUAGAGGUAGGUAGGGGAGAAUGGAAUUCCCGGUGUAGCGGUGAAAUGCGCAGAUAUCAGGAGGAACACCGGUGGCGAAGGCGGCAUCCUGGACCGACACUGACGCUGAGGAGCGAAAGCCAGGGGAGCAAACGGG